CCCUUAGAUGUCCGGGGCUGCACGCGCGCUACACUGAAGGAAUCAGCGUGCUAAAACCAUUGUCGAAAGGCAUUGGUAAACCCAUUAAAAUCCUACGUGAUUGGGAUCGGGAAUUGCAAUUAUUUCCCUUGAACGAGGAAUUCCCAGUAAGUGUGGGUCAUAAGUUCGCGUUGAUUACGUCCCUGCCCUUUGUACACACCGCCCGUCGCUGCCCGGGACUGAGCCGUUUCGAGAAAAGCGGGGACUGCUGCUGUCGGGGCUUUCGGGCCUUGGCUUCGGUGGAAACCGCUUUAAUCGCAGUGGCUUGAACCGGGCAAAAGUCGUAACA
rnacentral:rRNA from 1 species